rfam:Rhynchosporium commune strain TK7 genome assembly, contig: RCO7_mito
GCCAGGGUAGUUUAAUUGGUUAGAACAUUAAUUUCAUGCAUUAAGAAUGAGAAUUCAAAUUUCUCCUCCGGCU